rnacentral:rRNA from 1 species
UUUGGCCGUCCGAGUUGUAGUCUGGAGAAGUGCUUUCCGCGCUGGACCGUGUAUAAGUCUCCUGGAACGGAGCGUCAUAGAGGGUGAGAAUCCCGUCUUUGACACGGACUACCAGUGCUCUGUGAUGCGCUCUCAAAGAGUCGAGUUGUUUGGGAAUGCAGCUCAAAAUGGGUGGUGAAUUCCAUCUAAAGCUAAAUAUUGGCGAGAGACCGAUAGCGAACAAGUACCGUGAGGGAAAGAUGAAAAGCACUUUGGAAAGAGAGUUAAACAGUACGUGAAAUUGCUGAAAGGGAAACGCUUGAAGUCAGUCGCGUCAGCCGGAAAUCAGCCUUGCUUCCGCUUGGUGUACUUUCUGGUUGACGGGCCAGCAUCGAUUUUGACCGUUGGAAAAAGGCAGAGGGAAUGUGGCACCUUCGGGUGUGUUAUAGCCCUCUGUUGCAUACAACGGUUGGGAUCGAGGAACUCAGCACGCCUUCAUGGUCGGGGUUCGCCCACGUUCGUGCUUAGGAUGCUGGCGUAAUGGCUUUAAACGACCCGUCUUGAAACACGGACCAAGGAGUCUAACAUGCCUGCGAGUGUUUGGGUGGAAAACCCGAGCGCGUAAUGAAAGUGAAAGUCGGGACCUCUGUCAUGGAGGGCACCGACGCCCGGACCUGAAGUUCUCUGACGGAUCCGCGGUGGAGCAUGUAUGUUGGGACCCGAAAGAUGGUGAACUAUGCCUGAAUAGGGUGAAGCCAGAGGAAACUCUGGUGGAGGCUCGUAGCGAUUCUGACGUGCAAAUCGAUCGUCAAAUUUGGG